rnacentral:antisense_RNA from 1 species
UUCACAACGCUCUUUGGACAUGGUCAGGCAGAUCAAACCUCGCCCGUGGGUCGCCAUAAAGUUGAUCGCUUCCGGCGUAAUAUGCUCGGCAGCCAUGAUCA